rnacentral:rRNA from 1 species
GAUCAUGGCUCAGGAUGAACGCUGGCGGCGCGCCUAACACAUGCAAGUCGAACGGCACCUACCUUCGGGUGGAAGCGAGUGGCGAACGGCUGAGUAACACGUGGAGAACCUGCCCCCCUCCCCCGGGAUAGCCGCCCGAAAGGACGGGUAAUACCGGAUACCCCCGGGAGCCGCAUGGCUCCCGGGCUAAAGCCCCGACGGGAGGGGAUGGCUCCGCGGCCCAUCAGGUAGACGGCGGGGUGACGGCCCACCGUGCCGACAACGGGUAGCCGGGUUGAG